UUCAGAUAUUCUCUAAAUGUCAUUGCUUCCAAAAUCCCUUCCCAACCACUCUUUGAAAAGUAGACCUGUACCCGGUCCUUGUCAAUCACACCAUCUGGUUUUCCUCUCAUAGCAACUAUCAACAUCUGAAGUACUGGGCUGCAGAUGUGACUAGCAUCUCAUUGCCUUCUUUUGUCUUCUCAACUCCAGGACCCACAAAGGGGGCAGUGUCUAUCUAGUUCACCAGUCUGUCCCCAAUACUAGUAGGUGACUGGCACACACUGUGUGAUGUUAGGAACAUUCCCUAGCUGCAUAUUUAAAGAAAGAGGAAAACCAAAGAGGAAGAGAUGACUAUAAAUCACUGCAUGCAGUGCCUAUGACAGAAUUCUGGAAGACCACUGAUGCUCUUCUGGACAAGUGACAAAUUCUACAAAUCUAUGAUUACCUUACCACCUGGACCAAACUCUUACCAUUCUGAUUUUCUCCCUUCCAGAUACCAUCUACUACCCGACAAACUGGAGGAAUUCAGAGACUGUGUAGGACACAUUGACUCCAUUCAUUCUCCAACACAAAGUGCCUGAAUCUGUUUCCGGGAGGAGAAAAGAGAAGAGGAGAAGAAUUCAAAGAAGGGCAACUGCUGAAAGAACUUAAAAUUUUUAAAACUAUAAAACAGCACAUGCUCAUUGUACCUGUUUUAGAUAAAACAGAAAAGUAUAAAAAGCAACACGCUCAAUACUUAACACUAAAUACUAAAAUGUUGUGGGCAUCUAUUAUUUAUCUACUCAGCCUCUCAUCCUUAUUUUUCCCUCCUGCCUUGGGAAACUGAGCCUUCAUUUUCUCUGCUAGUCUCUUUUCGUACUCUAACAUUAUGGUUUCCAUGGAAACUUCCACUGUGUUCCAUGCUUCCUUAUACCUCUUGUGCUGCCCCCUACAGGCCACAGGGGAUUGGUUCAGGAGGAGCGCCUGACCCAACAUCAGCUAAUCACAGCUCUUCUCUUGGAUUUUUAAAUGUGAGGUCAGAAAGAGCAUCUGUCUUCUUCUAGGAGCAGAAAGUAUGAGGCAAAACAAAACAAAACAAAUAAAAAAAUACUCAAUACUUCUAUUUCUACAGGAAUGUUGACAGAGCUUCAUGUGAAUGAAAUUUGGAUCCAUCCAUCUGUCUUGUUCCUGGAACCAAAGUACUUUGGGGUAGAAGAAAGUGGAUUUCCUAAAAGGGCCAUAUCAACUAGAGCCAAGAAACAUCUCUUCUUAAGACUUGCUAAUCAGAAGAAAUGAGCAGUUCAUGAUCAGCUUGCAUGAGUAAUAAUCUGUUGUGUUACCACCCCUCUGAAACUGGAUCCAGGGAGCAUUGGAUUUAUUCUUCUGAAUCCCUGGAAAAGACUGAGCUUCUGCCCCAGCUGGGUCAAUGUGCAUGCAGCUUGGGGUGAGUCCCCUUCCCUCCCAGGCCUUAAUUUUCUUAUUUGUGAAAAGGAGAGUUUCCCCCUGUCCAUGCCAGCACCCUUUGGUUCUGAUGUCCUAUGGUUUUAUGAAACUUAAUUAGAAACAGAAAAGAGAUGCAGGAGAAAUUCUUUUAGUCCGUGGAUACCAAGAGGGUACUGCUGAUACUUGCUGGCUGUACACUUGCAGGAGAAAUUCUUCUAGUCCGUGGAUAUCAAGAUGGUACUGCUGACACUUGCUGGCUGUUUUGGGCUGAAAUAUUAUAUUCAUUUAAAAAACAACAAUAACACUGCAUUUAAACAGCUAUUGCAGGAUUUCUGCCUCUCCACUGUUUGGACUGGGACUGGUGUUUAUGACCCAUGUGGAUAUUUUUGCACUAGAGACCCUGGUUAUAGCAGAAAGGAUUCUGGCCCCAUGUCCUGCAGAGAAGCAUUAACUCAUUCCACUUUGCCCACAAUGCUCUCUGGCCCCUGUCACCAGGCCUUCCGAGGGUUGUGAUCUUUAAUUCCAAAGCCAGAAUGUUUUCUAGCUGGUGUUUCUGAACUGUAUAUAAUGUUACUUAUUUAAAAAAAAAGGAAAAAAAAAGAAAAAUUAUUUAAAAUGCUUAUGAGAGAGUUGGGGGUGGGUGUGGGUAGAGGAGUGGCGGGUGCUAUUCAUUAGAAUUCCUAUAGAGUAAUCAGAUCUUUUCAUUCCAAAGGGUGUUAUUGCCUGGGAAUUAAUAUUAGAUCUGAUUUUGAAAUAAGCCUAAUGAUGAUGACUUUUGGAGGGUAUAUAUAUUUUUUUGCUAUAUUUGCAUAAAGCCCUUUUCUCAGCUUGGCAUAUGGAAGUUAAAAACAUGAGUUCUGUCCUUAAAAUUCUUGUUGGCAUAUUAUCCAGCAGAAAAGGUAAUUACUUGCAGGGACCACAGUUAGGAAGGCUAACUUAAUGUCCUUUGAAAUGUUGCUUUUGAAAUUAAAUGGUCUUCUAGGUGUGGAAGGCCAUUGGCUAGUUGGCGGUGGGAGGGCUCAGAAGCCCUGGCUGUCUAGAGCCUUUAGAGCUUUCCUGGAGACUGAUGCUGGAUGCCAUAGAGAGGUCAGCUGGGCAUAGUACAUUUCCACAGGCCUUUCUCUCUCAUCUUCUGAGCUGCACCAUCACCUCUGAUAUUUUCUGAUUCCCCAUCACUGUCCACAGUGUAAAGUUAGUGCACACACAAUAUGGUGUUUUAUCCUAUAUUUGUAACCUAUUGCUGUAUAACAAAUUACCCAGAAUAUAGUGACUUCAAAUAACAAACAUUGUUUAUCUCAGCUUCUGUGGGUCAGCAAUUUGGGAGCAAUUUAAAUAGGUGUUUCUGGCUCAGAGUCUCUCUUGACCCUCAUUUUUCCCCUUUUUCGUUGUACACAGUUUUCUCUCUUCUUAUAGAGCUUUCCCUUAGCUUUUCUUUAUCAACGGGCAAACUCCUAUACAUCUUACAAAACUCAGAUUGAAUAAUCCAUCCUUUUAUUUUUUCCAAUCGCUCUGAGUAGAAAUUGGCUUCUACCUCCCAUGACAUUUGGAAAUCCUUCUAUUAAAAUGAGAUCCUCUGAUUUUUUUUAAUGUGUGUGUGCAUGAUUUCUAGAUGUGAAGUGUCCAAUAUGAUAGACAGUAGCCACAUGUGACUAUUUAAAUAUAAAUUUAAAUGAAUGGAAAUAAAAAUAAAAUAAUAAAAUCAGCUAGCUCCUCAGUCACACAAGCCAUAUUUUAAGUGCCUGCUAACCACACAUGGCUGAUGGCUACUGUGUUGGACAGUGUAGAAAACUCUUACAUCAUUGUAGAUAGUUCUCUUGGGAGCAUGGCCUAGUGUGUUAUCUCUUUCAAAUCUGGGAUCCUUUCUUCAUCUAAAAAACAGGUAUUUUGUAAGGGUUUUUUUGUUUCUGUUUUGUUUUGUUUUGUUUUUUGGUCUAAAGUAUUAAGUAUUUGACCUGUUCACUUUUGUAUUGCCUGUGUCUGACUUAGCGUUUAGUUGAA